GACGAACGCUGGCGGCGUGCUUAACACAUGCAAGUCGAACGGAAAGGCCCUGCUUUUGUGGGGUGCUCGAGUGGCGAACGGGUGAGUAACACGUGAGUAACCUGCCCUUGACUUUGGGAUAACUUCAGGAAACUGGGGCUAAUACCGGAUAGGAGCUCCUGCUGCAUGGUGGGGGUUGGAAAGUUUCGGCGGUUGGGGAUGGACUCGCGGCUUAUCAGCUUGUUGGUGGGGUAGUGGCUUACCAAGGCUUUGACGGGUAGCCGGCCUGGGAGGGUGACCGGCCACAUUGGGACUGAGAUACGGCCCAGACUCCUACGGGAGGCAGCAGUGGGGAAUAUUGCACAAUGGGCGGAAGCCUGAUGCAGCAACGCCGCGUGCGGGAUGACGGCCUUCGGGUUGUAAACCGCUUUCGCCUGUGACGAAGCGUGAGUGACGGUAAUGGGUAAAGAAGCACCGGCUAACUACGUG
rnacentral:rRNA from 1 species